rnacentral:lncRNA from 1 species
AUGAUCUACACAUUAUGGGAGAGUCCAAUAAAAGAAGACGGGUCAUUCUUCAAUAUCAGCUCUUUCCUGAUAGUCAAAAU